rnacentral:rRNA from 1 species
ACGCUGGCGGCGUGCUUAACACAUGCAAGUCGAACGGAAAGGCCCUUCGGGGUACUCGAGUGGCGAACGGGUGAGUAACACGUGGGUGAUCUGCCCUGCACUUUGGGAUAAGCCUGGGAAACUGGGUCUAAUACCGAAUAUGACCACGCGCUUCAUGGUGUGUGGUGGAAAGCUUUUGCGGUGUGGGAUGGGCCCGCGGCCUAUCAGCUUGUUGGUGGGGUAAUGGCCUACCAAGGCGACGACGGGUAGCCGGCCUGAGAGGGUGACCGGCCACACUGGGACUGAGAUACGGCCCAGACUCCUACGGGAGGCAGCAGUGGGGAAUAUUGCACAAUGGGCGCAAGCCUGAUGCAGCGACGCCGCGUGAGGGAUGACGGCCUUCGGGUUGUAAACCUCUUUCAAUAGGGACGAAGCGCAAGUGACGGUACCUAUAGAAGAAGGACCGGCCAACUACGUGCCAGCAGCCGCGGUAAUACGUAGGGUCCGAGCGUUGUCCGGAAUUACUGGGCGUAAAGAGCUCGUAGGUGGUUUGUCGCGUUGUUCGUGAAAACUCACAGCUUAACUGUGGGCGUGCGGGCGAUACGGGCAGACUAGAGUACUGCAGGGGAGACUGGAAUUCCUGGUGUAGCGGUGGAAUGCGCAGAUAUCAGGAGGAACACC